rnacentral:rRNA from 1 species
CCUACGGGAGGCAGCAGUAGGGAAUCUUCCACAAUGGGCGAAAGCCUGAACCAGCCAAGUAGCGUGCAGGAUGACGGCCCUACGGGUUGUAAACUGCUUUUAUACGGGAAUAACGCGCCUUACGUGUAGGGCUUUGCAUGUACCGUAUGAAUAAGGACCGGCUAAUUCCGUGACAGCAGCCGCGGUAAUACGGAAGGUCCGGGCGGUAUCCGGACUGAUUGGGUUGAAAGGGAGCGUAGGGCGGAUGUCAAGCGUGCUGUGAAAUGGCCGGGGUCAACCCGGGCCUUGCAUCGGAAACUAGCGAGCUAGAGUCAGAGGAAGGCAGGCGGAAUUCGACGUGUAGCGGUGAAAUGCUUAGAUAUGACGAAGAACCCCGAAUGCGAAGGCAGCUUGCUGCAUCGGAACUGACGCUGAUGCUCGAAAGCGCGGGUAUCGAACAGGAUUAGAUACCCUUGUAGUC